rnacentral:rRNA from 1 species
CACGUAGGGGGCGAGCGUUGUCCGGAUUUAUUGGGCGUAAAGAGCUCGUAGGCGGUUCGAUAAGUCGGGUGUGAAAACUCUGGGCUCAACUCAGAGACGCCACCCGAUACUGUUGUGACUUGAGUCCGGUAGGGGAGUAUGGAAUUCCCGGUGUAGCGGUGAAAUGCGCAGAUAUCGGGAGGAACACCAAUGGCGAAGGCGGUACUCUGGGCCGGAACUGACGCUGAGGAGCGAAAGCGUGGGUAGCGAACAGG